rnacentral:rRNA from 1 species
AUCUACAGGCUUAACACAUGCAAGUCGAGGGGCAGCAUUUCAGUUUGCUUGCAAACUGGAGAUGGCGACCGGCGCACGGGUGAGUAACACGUAUCCAACCUGCCGAUAACUCGGGGAUAGCCUUUCGAAAGAAAGAUUAAUACCCGAUGGUAUAAUCAGACCGCAUGGUCUUGUUAUUAAAGAAUUUCGGUUAUCGAUGGGGAUGCGUUCCAUUAGGCAGUUGGUGAGGUAACGGCUCACCAAACCUUCGAUGGAUAGGGGUUCUGAGAGGAAGGUCCCCCACAUUGGAACUGAGACACGGUCCAAACUCCUACGGGAGGCAGCAGUGAGGAAUAUUGGUCAAUGGGCGCAGGCCUGAACCAGCCAAGUAGCGUGAAGGAUGACUGCCCUAUGGGUUGUAAACUUCUUUUAUAUGGGAAUAAAGUUUUCCACGUGUGGAAUUUUGUAUGUACCAUAUGAAUAAGGAUCGGCUAACUCCGUGCCAGCAGCCGCGGUAAUACGGAGGAUCCGAGCGUUAUCCGGAUUUAUUGGGUUUAAAGGGAGCGUAGGUGGACAGUUAAGUCAGUUGUGAAAGUUUGCGGCUCAACCGUAAAAUUGCAGUUGAUACUGGCUGUCUUGAGUACAGUAGAGGUGGGCGGAAUUCGUGGUGUAGCGGUGAAAUGCUUAGAUAUCACGAAGAACUCCGAUUGCGAAGGCAGCUCACUGGACUGCAACUGACACUGAUGCUCGAAAGUGUGGGUAUCAAACAGGAUUAGAUACCCUGGUAGUCCACACAGUAAACGAUGAAUACUCGCUGUUUGCGAUAUACAGUAAGCGGCCAAGCGAAAGCAUUAAGUAUUCCACCUGGGGAGUACGCCGGCAACGGUGAAACUCAAAGGAAUUGACGGGGGCCCGCACAAGCGGAGGAACAUGUGGUUUAAUUCGAUGAUACGCGAGGAACCUUACCCGGGCUUAAAUUGCAUUUGAAUAUAUUGGAAACAGUAUAGCCGUAAGGCAAAUGUGAAGGUGCUGCAUGGUUGUCGUCAGCUCGUGCCGUGAGGUGUCGGCCUAAGUGCCAUAACGAGCGCAACCCUUAUCUUUAGUUACUAACAGGUCAUGCUGAGGACUCUAGAGAGACUGCCGUCGUAAGAUGUGAGGAAGGUGGGGAUGACGUCAAAUCAGCACGGCCCUUACGUCCGGGGCUACACACGUGUUACAAUGGGGGGUACAGAAGGCAGCUACCUGGUGACAGGAUGCUAAUCCCAAAAGCCUCUCCCAGUUCGGAUCGAAGUCUGCAACCCGACUUCGUGAAGCUGGAUUCGCUAGUAAUCGCGCAUCAGCCAUGGCGCGGUGAAUACGUUCCCGGGCCUUGUACACACCGCCCGUCAAGCCAUGAAAGCCGGGGGUACCUGAAGUACGUAACCGCAAGGAGCGUCCUAGGGUAAAACUGGUAAUUGGG